GCUGUGGUGAUUCAGUGGUAGAAUUCUCGCCUUCCAUUCGAGAGACCUGGGUUCAGUUCCCGGCCCAUGCA
rnacentral:tRNA from 1 species